rnacentral:lncRNA from 1 species
AGCUUCACAUGUGAGAUAAAUGCACUCAAAGAUUCCUCACAAGUAGCUCUUUGGAGCUUCAGAUGUGAAAUGGAUCAUUCCUCAAUCUGUAAUAGACCCUUCUGUGAAGCUCUUCAAUCAAACCAGAGAAUUCAAGAGUUUCCAACACCUAAGAGUGGUAUUUGGCAAAUGGUGGGCCAAAGGAAUAAAGAAGGCAUGCAAAACUCUUGACAGAAGACAUUCAGAAAUUGAUUUGAUAUCAGAUACAAGGAGAAAAUAUGCCAGUAAGAAAAUGCAUUUUUCAAGAUUAAAUUCGGCAUUUGUUACUUAAUAGCAUUUGUCAUAUUCCAAUUUUUCAUAUGUAGUAAAUUCAUUUCAAAUCA